rnacentral:rRNA from 1 species
AACGAACGCUGGCGGCAUGCCUAACACAUGCAAGUCGAACGAGACCUUCGGGUCUAGUGGCGCACGGGUGCGUAACGCGUGGGAACCUGCCCUUAGGUUCGGAAUAACUCCCCGAAAGGGGUGCUAAUACCGGAUAAUGUCUUCGGACCAAAGAUUUAUCGCCUUUGGAUGGGCCCGCGUUGGAUUAGCUAGUUGGUAGGGUAAAAGCCUACCAAGGCGACGAUCCAUAGCUGGUCUGAGAGGAUGAUCAGCCACACUGGGACUGAGACACGGCCCAGACUCCUACGGGAGGGAGGAAGGGGGAAUAAUGGAACAUGGGCGGAAGGCUGAACCAGCAAUGGCGGGUGAGUGAAGGAGGGCUUAGGGUUGUAAAGCUCUUUUACCCGGGAUGAUAAUGACAGUACCAGGAGAAUAAGCUCCGGCUAACUCCGUG